rnacentral:rRNA from 1 species
AUUGAACGCUGGCGGCAGGCCUAACACAUGCAAGUCGAGCGGAGCGGCGGACGGGUGAGUAAUACUUAGGUAUCUGCCUGGUAGCGGGGGAUAACGUCCGGAAACGGGAGCUAAUACCGCAUACUAUCAGCAGAGCAUCGGUCGUAUUAGCUAGUUGGUGGGGUAACGGCCUACAAAGGCGACGACCCGUAACUGGUCUGAGUGGAUGAUCAGUCACGCUGGAACUGAGACGCGGUCCAGACUCAUACGGGAGGCAGCAGUGGGGAAUAUUGGACAAUGGGCGAAAGCCUGAUCCAGCCAUGCCGCGUGUGUGAAGAAGGUCUUCGGAUUGUAAAGCACUUUCAGUUGGGAGGCGUUACCAACAGAAUAAGCACCGGCUAACUUCGUGCCAGCAGCCGCGGUAAUUC